GAAUCCUGACAUCACUGGCAGAACAUCACCAGUGAUAUUCUGACUGCACCCCAUUAGUUUCCUGGCUACAGCCAGCAGUUUUGUUGAGGAAUCUGGCCAGUGGAUCUGGGGCAGAAACCGCUAACCCACUCUCUUGAACGGAGAGGACAGACUAGUUGAAGAAAAUUUGCUUCCACUCCAGGUCUGUGGGGUUUGGGGUAGCAGCUGGGAUUUGCAACAUCUAUUCCAGAUGGCACAUGAGAAGCUGAUAAAUCCAAUCCAAUUUCCUGAUUGAUCCGUUACGUCACCAAUGGCUACAACUAGAUGAUGUGAAUUUUUAAAAGAAAGCCCCAGCCCCAUCAAGAAAAGAAAACAAACCCAACAAAGAUCAUCAGGCAGCUUUCAAUGAGUAUUCCGGAUACAGAAGGUCUGGGUCGACUUACAACAUCCUCAACAUCCUCGACUAACAACAUCCUCAUUCCGAAGCAAAAGUAAGAUUAGCAAGCACUGGAUAAAUAGCAUUAGAAUAUGUAGCCUCUCGUAAAUAUGUCAGAAUGUGAUUAAAAGCAAAAUUGGCAGAUUUUGUAUGAAAUGAAUAAUUUUGUAUUAAAUGAAUAAGCCAACAUAAUCAAAGAUUUGUCCCACUCUGGUAAUUCCUUCUUCUCCCUGUUCCCAUCUUGUAGAAGAAACAGAAGCUUGAAAGCGUGCAACGCCAGACUCAGCAACAGCUUCUUCCUGAGUCUUCUGAAUGGUCCUUCCAUAAGCAAGGGUUUGAUUCACCUCUGCCCCAUUGAGUACAUUGGACGUUGUCUAUGGAACUGUUACACUACAAUUCUGCACUCUGCACCUUCCCCUCUGCUCCACCUAUUGCAUUUGAGAUGGUUUGAUAAUAGUAAUGAAUAGUAUUAUCUAAUUUGAUUGGAUAGCAUGAAAAACAUAGUUUUCACUGCACCUUGGUAUAUGUGACAAUAAGAAAUUAAAGCUCAGACUAUCAUCAAGCUAUCUAUUUAAUCGGUGCUGGAGAUGUUCUGUGCAAAGACCCGCCACAAAUUAAAGGUGGACUCCUAUGCUCUGAACCAUUGCCAGUAUAUGUAGAAUUUUCUGCACGCCUAUAUUCUGCAUUCAGUAGCUUAGAAACCUCGAAGAAACCACCUGUAAUCUCUGCAGCAGAACUGAUGAGUGAACUUGCAUUCUGGCAAACUGUUACCUAUGGUAUCCUAUACACCUACCUUAAUGCUGGGCAUUCAUUUAUCAUCACAAGUCAGGACAAGGAAACCGUCAGUAGAGAUUAUGAAAGAGCAUUCAAGGAAGGGUAGCAGUUACUCCUAAAAAUGUGAUGCCAAGUUGGUAAAACUAUAGCAUAGGACUUCAUGCACGAUAUAUAACAGUGGUGUUGUAUUGCAGACAGAGGUAAAUCAUUUCACAAGCAAUUAUCUAGAUCAAUGUUCUGCAAAUUUGUCAAAUUCUGCCAUGAAUAGUGGUGGACAAUCAAAGAGCUAACAAGGAGAUCCAUGAGGUUCCACCAACUUAACAGUGACGGCAUAUGUGAGCAUAAAAUGCAAUGUUACAUUUUUUUGUAAUCACCCUUAACAUGAAGUAACCGGUGAAUGAUCCAUCCUAGCUUCCUUUUGAGAGCUCCAUCAUCACAAAAGUAAAUUUCUAGCUAGUUCACUAGUCAAGGAUAAUGCAUAGAGCACAAUGCAUAUGGAAUUUAACAACAUAUUGUCACAGUCUGCCCUCUCCUCAUUCUCAUCCACUUCACCCCCCGGUACUUUUCCACCGGUCCCUCCUUCUCCUCACCUGCCUGCCUGCCACUCCCCUCUCAUCAGCCCAACUCUCCUCACCUGUUGCACUCUGUUGCCUCUGAUCGCCUAUUAACCCGGUAUAUAGACUCUCCUCACCGUUCACACAGUGCCAGAUUGUUCUCAGCAGUCAUGCAAGACUCUCCAGCGAUUUCCCGACUGCCUACACGGAUUCAAACCUGCCUGCCCCUGACCAUUCCGUCCUGUCGUCUUCCCAGAUAUCACCUCAGCCUUCUGUCCACGGCCUUCGUCCCGUACCUCCUGGUUUUUGUCUGCCUCUCGCCUGGGUUGUUUGGUGUAUCCCUGCAACGGCUCCUCGACUUCCUGCCUGGCUUCGACUCUCCUUUUGUCUGUCCCUCGCUGGUUUGUUUGCAUCGUGUGUUGCAUCUCCUGGUUACCGGACCUUCCGCUACCCCGACUACGUCUCCUGCCUGCCCCUCUUCGGAACCCUCGCUCAACCCUGAGCCUCUGUGUGAGUACGGUGUACCCAUUCCUGUGUUUCUACUCUGUGCUGCUAUUGGGUCCAAGCUAUACCCGUUACACAUAUAGUGCACACAGCUUGCCCUCGUGUGAAAAAUUACCCCAUGCAUGCGUUGUUCACAAAAAGUAAGGAAAAUCUGAUUCUGCUAGUUAUUCCCACAUCAGUCAAGUCUCAAGGUGUUGGUGACAGUGUUAUCAGACAGCACAUCGUUACCAAUAACCUGCACACGUUGACUGUUUGAAUUCACUAGUAAGCUUUAGAACCCAUCACAAACUUGCUCCAAACUUGAACAAUAUAAAAUAGAGAUGGUUGAAAGCUUUAAUAUCCUUGGAGUAAAUAACACCAGCAAUUUGUUCUGGACCCCCCCCCACACCAAAGCAAUGUUCAAGAAAACACACCUCUACUUAAGAAGCUGAAGAAGUUUGGCAUGUCCCCGACAAUUCUCACCAACUUCUACAGAUGCGCUGUAGAAAGCAUUUUAUCGGGCUGCAUUACAGCAUGGUUUAGGAGCAGCUCCAUCCCAGACCGUAAGAUAUUGCAGAGAAUUGUGGACACAGCCCAGACUAUCACACAAACCAACCUCCCUUCCAUUAACUCCAUCUACACUUCACACUGCCUUUGGUAAGGCCACCAGCAUCAUCAUGGGCAAUACUCACUCCUCCUUCUCCCAUCUCCCAUCAGGCAAAAAGUACAGAGGAGUGAAAAUGCACUCCUCCGGAUUCAGGGACAGUUUCUUUCCAGCUGUUAUCAGGCAACUGCACCAUCCUAUCAACAACUAACGAGCAGGCCUGAGCUACUAUCUACCUCACUAGAGAUUCCCGGUCUAUCUUUAAUCGGACUUUACUGGUCUUUAUCCUGCACUAAACAUUAUUCCCCUUAUCAUGUGACCGUACAUUGUUGAUGCCUUGAUUGUAAUCAUGUAUAGUCUUCCCAUUGACAGGUUAACAUGCAAUAAAAGCUUUUCACUCAGUAUACGUGACAAUAAACUAAAUUAAACUACACUAUGGUGGCACAGUGGUAGAGUUGCUGUCUUACAGCACCAGGGACCCGGGUUCGAUCCUGACUACGGGUGC